AAGAUUUUAAGUUAAAAAAACUCUUUACCUUCAAAGUAAAAAUUAUUAUUAAAAUAAAUCUUAGUA
rnacentral:tRNA from 1 species